UGGCAAGUCUUCCAGUAUGGGGAGCAAAACAGCUAUGGGUCAAGUCCGAUAUCUUUAGGAGAAGUCUUAUUGUGAGGGCGAGUUAUAUAACACCAUAGGACUGGCCGUCCCAUAUGAAAAGAUUAUAUUAGAAUUGAAUGAAGCUUUGUUUAUAUAUUGAUAAUGACAGUAUAUAUAUCGUGUCUUGACUAAUUGCGUGCCAGCAGUCGCGGUAAUACGUAAGAGACUAGUGUUAUUCAUCUUAAUUAGGUUUAAAGGGUACCCAGACGGUCAAUAUAGCUUAUAAAAUGUUAGUACUUGACUAGAGUUUUAUGUAAGAGGGCAGUACUUGAGGAGGAGAGAUGAAAUUUCGUGAUACCAAAGGGACUCUGUAAAGGCGAAGGCAGCCCUCUAUGUAAAAACUGACGUUGAAGGACGAAGGCACAGAGAACAAACAGGAUUAGAUACCCAAGUAGUCUUUGCAGUAAAUGAUGAAUGCCAUAGGUUAGAUUAAUCAAUUAUAGUCUAGGGUUAGUCUAGCAAACUAAUGACAGACUAUAAUUAAAAAUAUCUGGUCUAUAAAUGAAAGUGUAAGCAUUUC
rnacentral:rRNA from 1 species